rnacentral:rRNA from 1 species
CAGUAGUCACGAGUUUGAUCAUGGCUCAGAACAACGCUGGCGGCAGGCUUAACACAUGCAAGUCGAACGAGACCUUCGGGUCUAGUGGCGCACGGGUGCGUAACGCGUGGGAACCUGCCUUUAGGUUCGGAAUAACUCAGAGAAAUUUGAGCUAAUACCGGAUAAUGUCUUCGGACCAAAGAUUUAUCGCCUUUAGAUGGGCCCGCGUUGGAUUAGCUAGUUGGUGGGGUAAAGGCCUACCAAGGCGACGAUCCAUAGCUGGUCUGAGAGGAUGAUCAGCCACACUGGGACUGAGACACGGCCCAGACUCCUACGGGAGGCAGCAGUGGGGAAUAUUGGACAAUGGGCGAAAGCCUGAUCCAGCAAUGCCGCGUGAGUGAUGAAGGCCUUAGGGUUGUAAAGCUCUUUUACCCGAGAUGAUAAUGACAGUAUCGGGAGAAUAAGCUCCGGCUAACUCCGUG